ACUAAGGUAUGCUAGUCGAACGACCAGAACUAUGUCUGGAAGUGGCACACUGCUCAGUAACACGUAGCUAACCUACCCUUAGGACGUGGAUACCCCCGAGAAAUUGGGGUUAAUCCGCGAUAGGUGUAAUGUCCUGGAAUGGUAUUACGCCUAAAGGUGUAUCAUACAUGUUUGAUAUACGCCUAAGGAUGGGGCUGCGGCCGAUCAGGCUGUUGGUGAGGUAAUGGCUCACCAAACCUUUGACCGGUACGGGCCAUGAGAGUGGUAGCCCGGAGAUGGACACUGAGACAAGGGUCCAGGCCCUAAGGGGCGCAGCAACCGCGAAACCUCCACAAUGCACUCACGUGCGAUGGGGCUAUCUCGAGUGCCACCUGAUGAAGGUGGCUUUUCCUAGGUCUUCAAAGCCUUGGGAAUAAGAGGGGGGCAAGACUGGUGUCAGCCGCCGCGGUAACACCAGCCCCUCGAGUGGUGGGGAUGAUUAUUUGGCCUAAAGCGUCCGUAGCCGGCCGAGCAAGUCUUCCGUUAAAUCCAGCGUCUCAAGCGUUGGACCGCGGGAGAUACUACAUGGCUAGAGAGUGGGAGAGGUCAGCGGUAUUCUGGGGGUAGGGGCGAAAUCCUUUGAUCCCCGGAGGACCACCAGUGGCGAAGGCUGCUGACUAGAACACGUCUGACGGUCAGGGACGAAAGCUGGGGUAGCGAACCGGAUUAGAUACCCGGGUAGUCCCAGCCGUAAACGAUGCAUGCUAGGUGUUGGGUUGGCCACGAGCCACCCCAGUGCCGCAGGGAAGCCGUUAAGCAUGCCGCCUGGGAAGUACGAUCGCAAGAUUGAAACUUAAAGGAAUUGGCGGGGGAGCACCACCAGGCGUGAAGCCUGCGGUUUAAUUGGAGUCAACGCCGGA
rnacentral:rRNA from 1 species